rnacentral:rRNA from 1 species
UACGGGGGGGGUAAGCGUUGUUCGGAAUUACUGGGCGUAAAGGGCUCGUAGGCGGCCAACUAAGUCAGACGUGAAAUCCCUCGGCUCAACCGGGGAACUGCGUCUGAUACUGGGUGGCUUGAAUCCGGGAGAGGGAUGCGGAAUUCCAGGUGUAGCGGUGAAAUGCGUAGAUAUCUGGAGGAACACCGGUGGCGAAGGCGGCAUCCUGGACCGGCAUUGACGCUGAGGCGCGAAAGCCAGGGGAGCGAACGGG